GGAAGGCCGGUGGCAGGAGCAGCAUAGCACAGAGGGCCAGCCUCCUGGGGCCCCACUCCCUGUCACAGGGAGACACGGGGGGGGCCUGCUGGCCCUGAGCAAGGUCUCGGCGACUGGCGGUCAGCGUGUGGCUCUGAGUGGCAGGAGGGAACAGAGAGAGGAACCGAGAGAGGGGCAGGGAGGGCAGGGAAGGACAGGAGCGCCCGCCGACGGGCCGGCCGCCGCACUCAAGGCUGAGAGUGCUAGUCACCAGUCCUCCAGCUCAACUGGUGUCUCCCCACUGGAUGACGUCCACCCUGCCGGCCCUGAGAGGUAGUGGGGAGGGAAGAGCAGGAAGGAGACAGGAGGGGAGGAGGAAAGGGGGAGCUGAGCAGUGACAGGCACCCCCCCCAAUCCGCAGGGGAGGGCUGGGGGUGGGGAUGGGAGAGGGGACGGCAGGGCGCCUCGGAAUCCCCUUCUCCCCACCGCCCAGUUUAGUGGGUUCUGGCUGGGCAGGGUAGGGGUGCAGGGGAAGGGCUGCUGGCCCAGUUUAGUCAGUGCUGGCUGGGCUGGGUGGGGGCGGGAGGUUCCCAGGUGCCUCACUGACAGGGUGGAGGGUGCCGGGCAGAGGGUAGGGACGACCAUGGGACCACAGGGGAGCUCUGAGCGACCAUCUGGAGUACUUCCAUCCGUGUGCCCUCUCUUAGGCCGUAAGACAGCCCUGGUUCUACAUGUGAGCACAUCCUUUUGGCUCCGUCUUCAAGAUACUCAGUCCAACCACACCUGACCACUCGGCCUCGCCACCGUCGUGUUCAUCUGGAGGAACCAUAGCGCCCUCCUGAUAGUCUCCCACUCGGGUGGGCUGGGUAACGUCUCUCCUCCCCCAAAGAGGUCUGCGUCGCAAUCUGUAACUUGUGACUGUGUCACCUUACGUAGUAAGAGGGACUUUGCAGACGGAAUUAAAUUGAGGACGUUGAGAUGGGAGAUUAUCUUGGAUCAUCCAAGUGGGCCCAAGGUCCCUCCUUUUGAGAGGUGGGCGAGGACAGAAGGCAGAAGGUGACAUAACAGUGGCAGCAAGUGUGGUGUGAUGUGGGGCCGCGAGCCCAAGAAACGGCAGCCUCUAGAAACGGAUUCUCUUCUAGAGCCUUCGGAAAGAACACAACCCUGCCAACACAGACCUCCAAAACGGUAGAAUAAAUGUGUGUUGUUUUAAGCUGCUAA